GGGCCCGUGGCUCAGCUUGGAUAGAGCGAGUGGCUUCGGACCACUAGGUCGAGGGUUCGAAUCCCUCCGGGCUCG
rnacentral:tRNA from 1 species